rnacentral:rRNA from 1 species
UACGUAGGGGGCUAGCGUUGUCCGGAUUUAUUGGGCGUAAAGAGCGUGUAGGCGGCCAGGUAGGUCUGCUGUGAAAACUCGAGGCUUAACCUCGAGAUGUCGGCGGAAACCAUCUGGCUAGAGUCCGGAAGAGGAGAGUGGAAUUCCUGGUGUAGCGGUGAAAUGCGCAGAUAUCAGGAGGAACACCUGUGGCGAAAGCGGCGCACUGGACCACAACUGACGCUGAGGCGCGAAAGCUAGGGGAACAAACAGG